AUUGAACGCUGGCGGCAGGCCUAACACAUGCAAGUCGAGCGAGCGGCGGACGGGUGAGUAAUGUCUGGGAAACUGCCUGAUGGAGGGGGAUAACUACUGGAAACGGUAGCUAAUACUGCAUACCAUCAGAUGUGCCCAGAUGGGAUUAGCUAGUAGGUGGGGUAACGGCUCACCUAGGCGACGAUCCCUAGCUGGUCUGAGAGGAUGACCAGCCAAAUGGGAACUGAGAAACGGCCCAGACUCCUCGGGGAGGCAGCUGUGGGGAAGAUGGCACAAGGGGCGCAAGCCUGAGGCAGCAAUGCCGCGGGUGUGAAGCAGGCCUUCGGGUUGUAAAGCAUGUUCAGUGGGGAGGCGUUACCCGCAGAAGAAGCACCGGCUAACUCCGUGCCAGCAGCCGCGGUAAUAC
rnacentral:rRNA from 1 species